AACGAACGCUGGCGGCAUGCCUAACACAUGCAAGUCGAACGAGACCUUCGGGUCUAGUGGCGCACGGGUGCGUAACGCGUGGGAACCUGCCCUUAGGUUCGGAAUAACUCCCCGAAAGGGGUGCUAAUACCGGAUAAUGUCUUCGGACCAAAGAUUUAUCGCCUUUGGAUGGGCCCGCGUUGGAUUAGCUAGUUGGUAGGGUAAAAGCCUACCAAGGCGACGAUCCAUAGCUGGUCUGAGAGGAUGAUCAGCCACACUGGGACUGAGACACGGCCCAGACUCCUCCGGGAGGCAGCAGUGGAGAAUAUUGGACAAAGGGCGAAAGCCUGAUCCAGCAAUGCCGCGUGAGUGAUGAAGGCCUUAGGGUUGUAAAGCUCUUUUACCCGGGAUGAUAAUGACAGUACCGGGAGAAUAAGCUCCGGCUAACUCCGUG
rnacentral:rRNA from 1 species